rnacentral:lncRNA from 1 species
GCGAUGUGGUGGAGUGGAAAAGACUUUUAAUUGGUGGUAACACAACAAAGGAAAUAGAAUACCCCUCCUUGGAAGAGGGAGGAGCCUGCAGUGACAGGCACCAUGCAAGAAAGAGCCCAGUUCUGAGACUGAGACAUCUGGGCCAUGGUCCUGGCUCCAUGACUACCACAGCAUGCCUGUGGGCAGCCCAUUCAGCCUCUCUGACCACUAUUACAUCUUUGUAAAAUUCGGUGCCCAUCUUUGCAGAGUUGUUAGGAUUAUAUAGGGGAGUGGAUUUAAAGUAUCUAGCAAAAUGCCUGGCACCAAAGUAAAUGCACAUUUAAUAAAAGCUGCUAUUGAUGUUAUUAGCAGUACAGCUUAAAAUUGUCUAGGACCUUGGAAAGCCACAGGAUUAGAAAAAUAAAAAUAAGAUGGUGAUAUUUUAAAAACAAGCCAAUCAUAUACUAAAGGAAUAUGAGGAAAAAGGAUAGAGAAUAGCAUAGGAAACUUAUUUUUAGUAGUAUGCCCUUUAAAUAGACCUCCCUCUCUCCUUACCUGGAGAAGAAGCCAGCUUCCAAUAAAAAGCUUUUUUUGAAAAAUAUUUUCGAAGUUUCCUCUAACAAGACUUUGAAGGGGGGAUUUUUUUUUUUUUUUUUUGCUAACUCAUAUUUCUUCAGUUCCCACAUUAAAUGUCAUCUCCUUAGAAAGGCAUCCCUGAUGUUCCAAACUAAGGCUCCACCAACUUUUUCUAUAAAGGGACAGAGCAUAGAUAUUUUACUUGUAAAAUGUACUUUGCCAAUCUUCUAUGGUCUCUGUCACAUCAUAUUAUUAUUCCUAAAUUUACAACCCUUUAAAAAUGUUAAAAAAAAAAUUGGUCAUAGGUUUGUAGACCACAGUUUGUUGGUUCCUGUUCCAAAUUUCAGUCGUCCCUGAUAGUCUUUUGGCAGCAUACUAUUGCUUUUCCUUUGUAUCACAUGUCUCUAUUUGAUGUUAUAUAUUUAUUUGUUUGAUAUUUGCCAAACUCCUGUGACUGUAAACUCCUGGACGAAGGGACCAUGUUGAUUUUGCUUGAGGAGAGUUCGACACUGUGUCUCUAGCACAGAGAUGUACACAUAGUAGGUACUCCAUUAAUAUUUGUUCAAUAAAUAAAACAAUCUAAAAGUAAUUCCUAUUCACUGUAAGAAAAUCUGAGGAAUACCCCCCAAAAUGUAUAAAAGGUAAAGCAAUAAUCUAUUCAUCAUACCACCACUCAGAGACAGCUGUUGUCAGCAGGCUUUAUUUUUGUAUUUGUAUUGGUACGUGUAUAACUACAUACUGUAUUUACACGAUAGAAAUCUUUCUGUCUCGAAAGCUUCAUAGUCUAGCUUUUCACUUAAUAAACAACUCAGCAAAGAAUAUUUUAUGCAUAUGUCUUUGUUGGUGUUUCUAGUUAUUUGCUCAGAAUAGAUUCCAAGAAAUCGAAUCAUGAGAUCGAAGGAGAUCAACAAGUUUGUGGCUCUUGAGACACAAUGCCAAAUAUCCUUCUAGAGAGCUGGCAGAUAUCAGAAACCUCUUCUCAGCUUUAGAGAUGCUUUUCACACAGACAGAAGAUUUCCUCUCCACACCAGAGGCAGCAGGAUAAGAUGUACCAUCAGACCGCACUGGCUUACCGUGGUGACAAGAAAGAAGAGGCCCUGACUGGGUGAGCUUCUUUAUUUAGCAAUUAACCAAAGACAAAUAAACCACUUCUAACCUUUUUCUUGCUUGAAUAUGUAGAAAUUAAAUGCAUUCAUUAUCCUGAGAGGAUUAUGAGCUUCUUUUUCCUGCAGUGACUCAAAUAUUUAUUUGACUGUAUGCAUAUGCUUUGCAGGAAUAAAAAUCAGCAUCUUCCAACUAAACCAUUUCCAUUGCAUCUAUAAUAACAUCUCUAAAAAGUAAUUCCUGUCAUUUCCAUUCCAUUUAUUUAUUACUCAACCAAAUAUACCCCCCUUGAAGGGUAGUAUUCUCUUGGACUAGGGCAUGGGAUUCACAGUUCCUCAAAGUGGUAAAUGUGAUAAAUGUUUUAACAUAUAUGGGAAUCCCACAAAGAACUCUCACUUUGGUAUUAAAUCAUGGAGGAACAUCAGGGUAUCCAUCUGCACACCCUAUGAAAUAAGAUGCAUUGGGUAAGUCAGCCAGGUGCUUUGUUUAUGUGGCAUCUGGACGCUUGGAAACUUCUGGAUGAGUAAACACUUUCUUUUGGGUCGAAAAGGUUUGGCUUUAACAUGUCGUCUAGUGGAAACCAAUCUAGAAUCACCAUGUUCGACUUUUCUAGUCUUUUAUGGGUCCAGUAAACUCAAGUGAAGGAAUCUUCAGAAGUGGGUUAACUUGUCCAUUCUCUUGGUAGUUGGAAUUCUUUCCUAAAUGUCACAUAAGAUAUUUGGAUACAAAUGUGUAGAGGAGAAAUGAAGGGACAAAAGAAUUAACAUUUGUUGAUCUCCUGCCAUAUGUAAGACACUGUGAUAGAUCACAUGUAUAAUAAUUUCAAUUUGUCAUUCCAACCUGGUGAGGGAGGUAUUAAUGGCUUCAUUUAACAGAUGAGGAAACUGAGGUUAAGAGAUUUCCUCUCUGACCACAAUUAUUAAAGUAUAAGUAAACUUUCCCAAUCUCUGAUGAAAGAACCUAGGAUUAUAGUUGAGUGAGUCACCAAUGCCCCAAAUUAUGACAUAGCCCAUGAAGAAAGAUACACUAAUACUCUUCAAGGACAGCAGGGUUGGGGUGAGGCAUUUGUCACUCUGCCUGAGGAUGCAACAUUCUCACUUGCCCUGGCCCCUCAGCUCAGGGCGAGCCACAGCACAGCAGAAGAGCAGAACCGCCCCUCCUGGAAGUUCUAGGUUCUGAAUGUGUCCAAUAGGCCCAGAGGUGAGGGUCUACAGGCAGAUCAGGGAGUCUGAGAGACAGAAGCCCCUUGCUUCAGCAGCAUUGGAUUUAAGGACAGAGCCUUAAAUCAGGAAGAAGUUCUCUCUCCAACCAUAUACAGGGGAAACUAAAGACUUUGCCUGGCAACCUAGAGACUUUAUCAUCGCAGGAGAUGGAUAACCAAGAUGAAACCAUGAGACAACAUUCUGGGCCAAGCAGUGAGCAAUGAGGAGACCCAGACCCCAGGUUCCUGGCUGUGUCUUUGGCUAAAAAGAAGAGGCAUUAAGACAGAUUCCCUGAGGAUACUUCAAGAACCCUGAAAUUGCCUUGCUCACAUACCACCACACUAGAGAUGUUUCAGAAAAGCAGCUUCCCUUUUGGUGCCUCCAAUCCAGAAUGACUCCAGGUGAGACGGGUAAGAGGAGGUGUCACCUGGGCCAGUGGAGGUAUGACACCUCUGAUAGCUCUCCUGGGCACUGUGGGCAUCUCAGAUAGGAUCAUAACCCAAUGAGGCUCAGUGAUGCCUCUGCCAUUUCACUUAAGACCAAGUUGUGGUCAUUGCUAGAGGGUGGAAUAUUGUGUCUGAUGAGAUAUAGGAAUAGUCCAGGGGUCUCAUAAGAGGGCAAAAGCAGAUGCCAACAGGGCCCAGGCAGGUUAUACAAAUGGGUGAUACUUCCAGACAUCCCUAAUAGGGAGUGUGGGGACUGAGAAAUACAUGCCCGUCUAAAGGGAGCAGCCACCACCUAACUUCAGCCAACUGCUGUGUUACAGAAGAUAGACCCUAUUCCUACAGUUUCAAAAAGAACCAGAAAUCUAGAUUGCUAAAUAAAAUCUCUGAGUUUUAAAACACUACUAGCCAAACAGUAGUUUCACCUACUAUUUGAGAACCCUGUGUGACAGAGAUUUGUGCAGCCUUUAAUAGCAUGUUCAGAAAGUGAGUAUUCGUAUUUAAAAAAAUAAUAGGUAACUCCUGGGUCAGAUCUCUUCAUCCUAUGACGGUUACUCUUAUUCUGCUAUUCACCCUUUUAUCAAGUAUUAAGCAACCCCUGGAUACUGAUGUCCUAUGCUCUCUCCCACCUCAGAGUCUUCACACUGCUCUUUCCUCUAUCUAGAAUGUUCUUUGUUCAGAUCUUCGCAUGGCUGGCUCCUUCUCAUAUUUCAGGCGAAAUCUCAAAGAGGCCUUCCCUGACCAUCCAUCCUCAAUAGCCUCUCCCUCCAACAGGUGGAAUCGUAAAGAUCAGUUAGCAGGCCACCACAUGUAUUUCAAGUGAAUGACGCUGAUGACUUGGGCCAGGUUGGUAGGUAGAGGAAAGUGGUAAGAAGUGGCUGGAUUCUGGAUGCAUUUUAAAGGUGGCAUCCAGAGGAAAGGUGGUAAUGAAAGCAGACAACAAACACGAUCCCCAAAGAAGUGACUGGCAAUACACAAGAGAUUCAAGGACUGAGCACUGAGACAUUCCAACAUUUAAAGGCCAGGAAUAUGAAGAGAGACCAGUGAUGGAGAACAAGAAGGAGCAGCCAAUGGGCAGGUGGAAAACGAGGAGACAGAGGUAGCUUAGAUGUCCAAUAAAGAAAGCGCAUCAAGGAGGAGAGAGUGGCUAACCGUUAGAGUUGCUGUGAACAGGUGAAUAAGCUGAGGAUGAGAGCUGACUGCUGAACUGAGCAAGUGGAGGCCAAGAGUGAUCUAGACAAGAGCAGGUUUCUGAAGAGGCGAGGAUUAACUCCUGCUUAAAGAUGAAACGUCCUCACUCAUUCAUUCUACUGAAAGUGGGUUCAAGUGAGAACAGAAAGUGAGGAACUGGGUUCAGUGAAUUUUACUGGAAAGGGAAUAGAAAAGAUGUGUGUGGGAUCAAGACUGAAGAAAUGUGUAGUGUGCUGGUGGGAAUGAUUCCAUAGAGAGAUAAAUAUUGAUGAGGAGGAGUUACAAAAUGAUGAGAAAAAGGAUUACAAAAGUGAUGUUCUGGGGAGGUGAGAGGGGAUGGGAUACAGGGAGACCAGUGAGCCUCACACCUCCUCCACUGUCACAAGAAUACGGGGUCAGCACAGAGGCAGCGAGGAAGGUAGGUGUGAUAACAGGGGCUAUAGAAGUUCUUCUCCGGUUACUUCUGUUGUUCUCAGUUCAGGAGGAACUGAGUUUAUUAAUCUGAGAGUGAAGAUGAGGAAGAGAUGCUGGAAAUUGGAAAAUAGUGGAUAAGACACAAAAUAACCAUCAAGGAGAGUGUGAAGGGAUGAGGGAAAUGAAGGAUGAUGGCUGGCAGCACAAAGGAUCCUCUGGAGGCUCUGCAUCAUCAAUUUAGUGAGGCCAGUGGGCAACAUUGUAUGUUCUGUGUUCCUGACCACCCAGGUGCAGCAACGGGGUUUAGGGACAGAUGGAGGAAAAGUCGGAUGCAACCAGGGGUGGGGAACACAGCAGAGUAAGAGAGGUGCAAGGAAGCUGGUGAUGCGCACAGAAAGUGACUGUGAUUAUGGACAUGGACAUUAAGCUCAGUGAGGAAUGUGGUGAGAACAAGGGGGUAAUAAGAGGUUAAAAGUCUAAAGAUUGGAGAGGACUUUAAGGAAACGACAGACCAGGAUAAUGGAAAUCACUUAUUAAAAUCUCCAAGGACAAUAAUAGAGAGAUGGUUGGAAUGUGACCGUGAUGAACCUGGAACUAAAAUUCUCCAGGAAUGAGAGCACAUGGCCCAGUCAGUGGAUGACUGCAACAAGAAUGUGUAGUAAGUGAUGCUCUCUGAUGACAAGAGAUUCGAAUAUGAGAUCUUUUAGUGAGGAGAGAGGGAGAAUGGCCUGGAAAUGUCCAGGGGGAGCAAGAAAGAGCAAUGGUACAAGAGUGGAGGCUGUGACGGGGCCAAGAGCACUCAUCUGAGGCUGCAGGGCUAAUUAACAUCCUCAGAGGAGAAGGGGGAAACAUAGGGGAACGGAGGCAUGUACAGUGUCAUACGGGAAUGCAAAUGUGGAUGGUAAGGGGUGUCCUGGCAGACAUGAACCUCUCACGGUGAUUGACAUACAGGGAUAAAGAGCAUAAUGAAAUUAGUCCUGAUCUUGGUGGCAAGGCUGGUAGUACUGGGGAGAAAAAAUGCUGGGAAGCUUACCAAGAAUACAUUGAAUUCUAGAAUCUUCUUUACUCUUGCCAGUGGAAAAAUGGAGGUCAGAGAGAGCCAUCUUGGUUUUUUGGGGUUUUUUAGCCUUUUUCUUUAUUAAAAUGUUGGCUCCAUGACAGGACAGGAGGGACUAACACCUCUUGUUCAUCAGUAAACAAGCCCGUGAGUAAGUUGACUCUUUUAAGGAGCUACUGAAUAAAGUGAAAAGUUAAAAAUAUACAAAUACCAGCUCAUAUUUACUGGAUCCUUACUGUGUGCCAGGAACUGUGAUGAGCCCUUUAUGGGCUUUAUCUUAUUUAAUCCUCACAAUGCUUCUGUAGGCAGGUACUAAUAGUAUUUUAAUAUCACACAUUAAGAAACCAAGGUUAGGGAGGUUAAGUUACUUGUGUAAGAUGAUAGGGUUAGUGAUGUAGCCAAGAUAUGAAGUCAAACAGCCUAUCUUUAAAAACCUUGUGCCUGCAAUAGACUCUGUUGGUCAUGUUCCCAACAGCCCUUUUCCCUCUUCUUCCUUGCUAAGGGAACCCUGGCUUUUGUUCAGGUAUUAAACGUGUUCAGAGAGAUUGCCUCCUCAGACACACUCAACCCUAAGGGAUCAAUCAUAGUUCAUUCAACAAGGUCCUCUUCAUCCAAUUCUUCUUGCCAGUGAUUAAUCCAGGCAAGCCAUAAGACUUGGUGGACACCUGCCAGGUGAUUGGAAAGCCAUUAUCGGGGGACUUAGAUUAGAGCUAUGGUGGCUAUCUUGUGACCACCAUGGAAAGUAAAGAGAAUCGCAGACAUGCCAACCUCAUGCCCUGACAUCAGUGAGUCAUCGAACCAACUCUGGUACCACCUACUUUGAAAAUUCUUGAUCAAUAAAUAAUGAGUAUCUUUAUGAUUCAAAGCUAUUGUUACCAGAAGCCAAAUGCACCCUAUACACAUGCUGCCUUCUAAAAAAGAAACCAUACUAAUGAAAGACUCUAUCUGAUUGGUUUAAAUAAUCAUCCCUCACAAGCAAACAGCAAGACAACUUGGCACAGGGGGAAGAAUUCUGUGCCAAUAGUCAGGAGUCCCAGAUUCUGGUCUGAGAGUAUAUGACCUUGACCAAGUCACUUUCUCCUUGGGGCUCAGUUUCUUCAAGUCAGAAACGAAGGGCAUGCUAGGAGGUCUCCUUCCUUUCUUUCAUUUCUAAUAUUAGAUGGUACUAUAACUUUGUAAUUCAUGCCUUAUACCUUAUAAUCUGUUACCAUGUCUCCUUUCGAGCACAAGACUUCCUUUUCUAGGACCCACCGAGAGGUGAGGCAGAGAGGACAAGGCAAGGACAAAACUUCUUUGGACUAUUUUCUGCACAUCCCCAGCAGAGAUUGAUGAAUGCCUCUGAGUCAGCAAAAUCUCCAGUGGUGAAACAGAAAGCGUACACUCCACACAUUCAAGCAGCCAGGCCAGCCCACACGGAGAAGAGGAUGUUCACAUCCAGCCUGUUCAGUGGACCCCAUGGGGCAUUUCAAAGGCUAUUACAUUUCCAGGACCUUCUAUCACACCCCCUUUCUUCCAUCCCUGCUAAUAUUUGUGACUUUCCAGCUUUCUUCUCUGAAAUUAAAAUCAAACCUUUGCAAAGUGAAAAUCAGUUCAUCUGAGCUAGUGCUGGUUAAGAUUUACAAAAUAAAGAGGAAUUUUACACCCAC